AACGAACGCUGGCGGCAUGCCUAACACAUGCAAGUCGAACGAGACCUUCGGGUCCAGUGGCGCACGGGUGCGUAACGCGUGGGAACCUGCCCUUAGGUUCGGAAUAACUCCCCGAAAGGGGUGCUAAUACCGGAUAAUGUCUUCGGACCAAAGAUUUAUCGCCUUUGGAUGGGCCCGCGUCGGAUUAGCUAGUUGGUAGGGUAAAAGCCUACCAAGGCGACGAUCCAUAGCUGGUCUGAGAGGAUGAUCAGCCACACUGGGACUGAGACACGGCCCAGACUCCUACGGGAGGCAGCAGUGGGGAAUAUUGGACAAUGGGCGAAAGCCUGAUCCAGCAAUGCCGCGUGAGUGAUGAAGGCCUUAGGGUUGUAAAGCUCUUUUACCCGGGAUGAUAAUGACAGUACCGGGAGAAUAAGCUCCGGCUAACUCCGUG
rnacentral:rRNA from 1 species